rnacentral:rRNA from 1 species
GACGAACGCUGGCGGCGUGCUUAACACAUGCAAGUCGAACGGAAAGGCCCUGCUUUUGUGGGGUGCUCGAGUGGCGAACGGGUGAGUAACACGUGAGUAACCUGCCCUUGACUUUGGGAUAACUUCAGGAAACUGGGGCUAAUACCGGAUAGGAGCUCCUGCUGCAUGGUGGGGGUUGGAAAGUUUCGGCGGUUGGGGAUGGACUCGCGGCUUAUCAGCUUGUUGGUGGGGUAGUGGCUUACCAAGGCUUUGACGGGUAGCCGGCCUGAGAGGGUGACCGGCCACAUUGGGACUGAGAGACGGCGCAGACUCCUACGGUAGGCAGCAGUGGGGAAUAUUGCACAGUGGGCGGAAGCCUGAUGCAGCAACGCCGCGUGCGGGAUGACGGCCUUCGGGUUGUAAACCGCUUUCGCCUGUGACGAAGCGUGAGUGACGGUAAUGGGUAAAGAAGCACCGGCUAACUACGUG